rnacentral:rRNA from 1 species
AUGGCCUCCUCCUCCGUCCUUCCCAUGGGCUGCAGGUUCAGCCCCUCCGACGCCGACCUCAUCUGCGCCUACCUCCGCCCCAUGAUCGCAAGCGAGCCCCUCCCUGAGCCCGCCGCCAGGUUCCUGCACACCGCCGACGCGUACGCCGCCGAUCCGGCCGCCCUCGUCUCGGGCCUCCAGCCCGCGGUCCUGCUGGCGCCCAAGACCGGGGCGGAGAGGCGGUGCUGGUACUUCUUCGGCUCCGCCAAGGCCCUGUCCGGGCACAACAAGCACAGGUCCCGCGCCGUCGGCGGCGGCGAGGGCACGUGGCACGCCGAGAAGGGGAGGAAGGCCAUGCUCGACGGCGAGGGACGCGGCGGAGUCGUCGGGUACAAGCAGAGUUUCAGGUAUAAGCCCAUCCAUGCCGACGGAUCCGUGGAGGCCGUGUGGCUCAUGGUGGAGUUCCGUAUGGCCCAUGAUCAAGGAGAUGAUGGGAAAGGUGAGACGGUUCCGGUUCUUUGCAAGGUCUACCAGAGCCCGCGCAAGCCCCGAUCUGCGUCCGUCUCGACGUCGCCAGCAUACAGGAGGGGGAGGAAGAGGAAGGCCGGAGACGACUCAGCUCCGGUGACGACUGUGAAGCGGCGGCUGCUUGUCCCUCCUGCUGCACCAAUUCUGCCGCCGGUCGUCGAGCCACAGCUAGACUUGAACAACUGCUCGGAUGGCGUCUCAUUGGAGUUGGACCAGCUUCUUGAUGAUCUCAUGUCCGGCCUCACGCCUGAUCAAGUCCUGGGUGACUUCGUGAUGCCUGCCCCUGAAUCAGAUGUCAAUUGCAGCUUCUCCAUGGCCAUCCACGCCGGCAGCUACUGUGACAGGGUCCUCCUGGACGAAGGUGGUGACUUGUUGAUGCCUUUUCAUCAGAAUUCUGAUCAACUCCUUCUGGGUGACUUGUUGAUGCCUGUCGUCCCUGAAUCAGAGGUCAAUUGCAGCUCCUCCAUGUCCGACCAUGCCGGUUCCAUGGUGAGCAACUACGACACUGUCGUCCAUGGCGGUUCAGUCACACCCCUUUUUGACAAUUCUGAUCAAUUUGACUUGUCGAUGCCCAUCAUCGAACCACUGCCAACUGACUUGCAGAACCAGACAGCAAUGCUAAAUUUCGGCUUCCUGCCGUGUGCCCUGUAUGCUGGAAUUUGUGAUUCUUGGACAGGAGGCGACACCACGGACGAUGAAGCGGCCUCGGUCAGCUGGUGGAAUUUGUGGUGGGCCUAUGUGCUGGAGCACUCGUACAAUUUCUGCAUCUUCCGGUAG